rnacentral:rRNA from 1 species
UGGGGAAUUUUGCGCAAUGGGGACAACCCUGACGCAGCAACGCCGCGUGCGGGACGACGGCCUUCGGGUUGUAAACCGCUUUCAGCAGGGAAGAAAUUCGACGGUACCUGCAGAAGAAGCUCCGGCUAACUACGUGCCAGCAGCCGCGGUAAUACGUAGGGAGCGAGCGUUAUCCGGAUUCAUUGGGCGUAAAGAGCGCGUAGGCGGCCUCUCAAGCGGGAUCUCUAAUCCGAGGGCUCAACCCCCGGCCGGAUCCCGAACUGGGAGGCUCGAGUUCGGUAGAGGCAGGCGGAAUUCCCGGUGUAGCGGUGGAAUGCGCAGAUAUCGGGAAGAACACCGAUGGCGAAGGCAGCCUGCUGGGCCGCAACUGACGCUGAGGCGCGAAAGCUAGGGGAGCGAACAGG